GACCGAUAGUGAACCAGUACCGUGAGGGAAAGGCGAAAAGAACCCCGGCGAGGGGAGUGAAAAAGAACCUGAAACCGUGUACGUACAAGCAGUGGGAGCCUCUUAAUGGGGUGACUGCGUACCUUUUGUAUAAUGGGUCAGCGACUUAUAUUCUGUAGCAAGGUUAACCGAAUAGGGGAGCCGAAGGGAAACCGAGUCUUAACUGGGCGUUAAGUUGCAGGGUAUAGACCCGAAACCCGGUGAUCUAGCCAUGGGCAGGUUGAAGGUUGGGUAACACUAACUGGAGGACCGAACCGACUAAUGUUGAAAAAUUAGCGGAUGACUUGUGGCUGGGGGUGAAAGGCCAAUCAAACCGGGAGAUAGCUGGUUCUCCCCGAAAGCUAUUUAGGUAGCGCCUCGUGAAUUCAUCUCCGGGGGUAGAGCACUGUUUCGGCAAGGGGGUCAUCCCGACUUACCAACCCGAUGCAAACUGCGAAUACCGGAGAAUGUUAUCACGGGAGACACACGGCGGGUGCUAACGUCCGUCGUGAAGAGGGAAACAACCCAGACCGCCAGCUAAGGUCCCAAAGUCAUGGUUAAGUGGGAAACGAUGUGGGAAGGCCCAGACAGCCAGGAUGUUGGCUUAGAAGCAGCCAUCAUUUAAAGAAAGCGUAAUAGCUCACUGGUCGAGUCGGCCUGCGCGGAAGAUGUAACGGGGCUAAACCAUGCACCGAAGCUGCGGCAGCGACACUAUGUGUUGUUGGGUAGGGGAGCGUUCUGUAAGCCUGUGAAGGUGUACUGUGAGGUAUGCUGGAGGUAUCAGAAGUGCGAAUGCUGACAUAAGUAACGAUAAAGCGGGUGAAAAGCCCGCUCGCCGGAAGACCAAGGGUUCCUGUCCAACGUUAAUCGGGGCAGGGUGAGUCGACCCCUAAGGCGAGGCCGAAAGGCGUAGUCGAUGGGAAACAGGUUAAUAUUCCUGUACUUGGUGUUACUGCGAAGGGGGGACGGAGAAGGCUAUGUUGGCCGGGCGACGGUUGUCCCGGUUUAAGCGUGUAGGCUGGUUUUCCAGGCAAAUCCGGAAAAUCAAGGCUGAGGCGUGAUGACGAGGCACUACGGUGCUGAAGCGACAAAUGCCCUGCUUCCAGGAAAAGCCUCUAAGCAUCAGGUAACAUCAAAUCGUACCCCAAACCGACACAGGUGGUCAGGUAGAGAAUACCAAGGCGCUUGAGAGAACUCGGGUGAAGGAACUAGGCAAAAUGGUGCCGUAACUUCGGGAGAAGGCACGCUGAUAUGUAGGUGAAGCGACUUGCUCGUGGAGCUGAAAUCAGUCGAAGAUACCAGCUGGCUGCAACUGUUUAUUAAAAACACAGCACUGUGCAAACACGAAAGUGGACGUAUACGGUGUGACGCCUGCCCGGUGCCGGAAGGUUAAUUGAUGGGGUUAGCGGUAACGCGAAGCUCUUGAUCGAAGCCCCGGUAAACGGCGGCCGUAACUAUAACGGUCCUAAGGUAGCGAAAUUCCUUGUCGGGUAAGUUCCGACCUGCACGAAUGGCGUAAUGAUGGCCAGGCUGUCUCCACCCGAGACUCAGUGAAAUUGAACUCGCUGUGAAGAUGCAGUGUACCCGCGGCAAGACGGAAAGACCCCGUGAACCUUUACUAUAGCUUGACACUGAACAUUGAGCCUUGAUGUGUAGGAUAGGUGGGAGGCUUUGAAGUGUGGACGCCAGUCUGCAUGGAGCCGACCUUGAAAUACCACCCUUUAAUGUUUGAUGUUCUAACGUGGGCCCCUUACCGGGGUUGCGGACAGUGUCUGGUGGGUAGUUUGACUGGGGCGGUCUCCUCCUAAAGAGUAACGGAGGAGCACGAAGGUUGGCUAAUCCUGGUCGGACAUCAGGAGGUUAGUGCAAUGGCAUAAGCCAGCUUGACUGCGAGCGUGACGGCGCGAGCAGGUGCGAAAGCAGGUCAUAGUGAUCCGGUGGUUCUGAAUGGAAGGGCCA
rnacentral:rRNA from 1 species